rnacentral:rRNA from 1 species
GACGAACGCUGGCGGCGUGCUUAACACAUGCAAGUCGAACGGUAAGGCCCUUCGGGGUACACGAGUGGCGAACGGGUGAGUAACACGUGGGUGAUCUGCCCUGCACUUCGGGAUAAGCCUGGGAAACUGGGUCUAAUACCGGAUAGGACCCUGGGAUGCAUGUCCUGGGGUGGAAAGCUUUUGCGGUGUGGGAUGGGCCCGCGACCUAUCAGCUUGUUGGUGGGGUGAUGGCCUACCAAGGCGACGACAGGUAGCCGGCCUGAGAGGGUGACCGGCCACACUGGGACUGAGAUACGGCCCAGACUCCUACGGGAGGAAGCAGUGGGGAAUAUUGCACAAUGGGCGCAAGCCUGAUGCAGCGACGCCGCGUGAGGGAUGACGGCCUUCGGGUUGUAAACCUCUUUCAGCACCGACGAAGCGCAAGUGACGGUAGGUGCAGAAGAAGGACCGGCCAACUACGUGCCAGCCGCCGCCGUAA